rnacentral:rRNA from 1 species
CAGUUCGGAUUGAAGGCUGAAAUUCGCCUUCAUGAAGCCGGAAUUGCUAGUAAUGGCAGGUCAGCAUACUGCCGUGAAUACGUUCCCGGGCCUUGUACACACCGCCCGUCACACCAUGAGAGUUGGGAAUACCCGAAGCCUGUGAGCUAACGAAAGAGGCAGCAGUCGAAGGUAGAAUCAAUGAUUGGGGUGAAGUCGUAACAAGGUAAC